CCUACGGGAGGCAGCAGUGGGGAAUAUUGGACAAUGGGCGAAAGCCUGAUCCAGCCAUGCCGCGUGUGUGAAGAAGGCCUUCGGGUUGUAAAGCACUUUCAGUGGGGAAGAAAGCCUUGGGGCUAAUACCCUCGAGGAAGGACAUCACCCACAGAAGAAGCACCGGCUAACUCCGUGCCAGCAGCCGCGGUAAUACGGAGGGUGCGAGCGUUAAUCGGAAUUACUGGGCGUAAAGCGCGCGUAGGCGGUCUGAUAAGCCGGUUGUGAAAGCCCCGGGCUCAACCUGGGAACGGCAUCCGGAACUGUCAGGCUAGAGUGCAGGAGAGGAAGGUAGAAUUCCCGGUGUAGCAGUGAAGUGCGUAGAGAUCGGGAGGAAUACCAGUGGCGAAGGCGGCCUUCUGGACUGACACUGACGCUGAGGUGCGAAAGCGUGGGUAGCAAACAGGAUUAGAUACCCGUGUAGUC
rnacentral:rRNA from 1 species